AGUGAACGCUGGCGGUAGGCCUAACACAUGCAAGUCGAACGGCAGCACAGUAAGAGCUUGCUCUUACGGGUGGCGAGUGGCGGACGGGUGAGGAAUACAUCGGAAUCUACUUUUUCGUGGGGGAUAACGUAGGGAAACUUACGCUAAUACCGCAUACGACCUACGGGUGAAAGCAGGGGAUCUUCGGACCUUGCGCGAUUGAAUGAGCCGAUGUCGGAUUAGCUAGUUGGCGGGGUAAAGGCCCACCAAGGCGGCGAUCCGUAGCUGGUCUGAGAGGAUGAUCAGCCACACUGGAACUGAGACACGGACCAGACUCCUACGGGAGGCAGCAGUGGGGAAUAUUAGACAAUGGGCGCGAGCCUGAUCCAGCCAUACCGCGUGGGUGAAGAAGGCGUUCGGGUUGUAAAGCCCUUUUGUUGGGAAAGAAAAGCAGCAGGUUAAUACCCCGCUGUUCUGACGGUACCCAAAGAAUAAGCACCGGCUAACUUCGUG
rnacentral:rRNA from 1 species